rnacentral:rRNA from 1 species
AUUGAACGCUGGCGGAAUGCUUUACACAUGCAAGUCGAGCGGCAGCGCGGCCUUCGGGCUGGCGGCGAGCGGCGAACGGGUGAGUAAUGCAUCGGAACAUGCCCAGUCGUGGGGGAUAACACUUCGAAAGAAGUGCUAAUACCGCAUACGUCCUGAGGGGGAAAGCGGGGGAUCGCAAGACCUCGCGCGAUUGGAGUGGCCGAUGUCAGAUUAGCUAGUUGGUGGGGUAAAGGCCUACCAAGGCGACGAUCUGUAGCUGGUCUGAGAGGAUGAUCAGCCACACUGGGACUGAGACACGGCCCAGACUCCUACGGGAGGCAGCAGUGGGGAAUUUUGGACAAUGGGGGCAACCCUGAUCCAGCCAUUCCGCGUGAGUGAAGAAGGCCUUCGGGUUGUAAAGCUCUUUCGGCAGGAACGAAACGGUGUGCUCUAACAUAGUCCGCUAAUGACGGUACCUGAAGAAGAAGCACCGGCUAACUACGUG